AGUGAACGCUGGCGGUAGGCCUAACACAUCCAAGUCGAACGGCAGCACAGGAGAGCUUGCUCUCUGGGUGGCGAGUGGCGGACGGGUGAGGAAUACAUCGGAAUCUACUUUUUCGUGGGGGAUAACGUAGGGAAACUUACGCUAAUACCGCAUACGACCUACGGGUGAAAGCAGGGGAUCUUCGGACCUUGCGCGAUUGAAUGAGCCGAUGUCGGAUUAGCUAGUUGGCGGGGUAAAGGCCCACCAAGGCGACGAUCCGUAGCUGGUCUGAGAGGAUGAUCAGCCACACUGGAACUGAGACACGGUCCAGACGCCUACGUGAGGCAGCAGUGGGGAAUAUUGGACAAUGGGCGCAAGCCUGAUCCAGCCAUACCGCGUGGGUGAAGAAGGCCUUCGGGUUGUAAAGCCCUUUUGUCGGGAAAGAAAUCCAGCUGGUUAAUACCCGGUUGGGAUGACGGUACCCAAAGAAUAAGCACCGGCUAACUUCGUGCCAGCCGCCGCCGUAA
rnacentral:rRNA from 1 species